UUCCAAAUGACAAGUCCUAAACAGGAUGAAACACGUGUCCUAGAU
rnacentral:hammerhead_ribozyme from 1 species